GCCUGGGUGGCUCAGUCGGUUAAGCAUCUGACUUCGGCUCAGGUCGUGAUCUCACAGUUCGUGGGUUCAAGCCCCGCGUCAGGCU
rnacentral:tRNA from 1 species